rnacentral:rRNA from 1 species
AGGCUGCAACUCGCCUACACGAAGCUGGAAUCGCUAGUAAUCGCGGAUCAGCACGCCGCGGUGAAUACGUUCCCGGGCCUUGUACACACCGCCCGUCACACCAUGAGAGUCUGUAACACCCAAAGCCGGUGGGGUAACCUUUUGGAGCCAGCCGUCUAAGGUGGGACAGAUGAUUGGGGUGAAGUCGUAACAAGGUAAC